rfam:Agarivorans albus MKT 106 DNA, contig: contig00006.
GGGGCUGAAUUGGAUUCGACAGGAUCAGGAAGGCUUGUGGAGCAUGUCGUGGGGCGGUUUGCCACGUAAAAAGCCGCAAAAAAAUAGUCGCAAACGACGAAAACUACGCACUAGCAGCUUAAUAACCUGCUAGAGCACUUCUACCCUAGCUUCCGCUUGUAAGACGGGGAAUCAUAGAAGUUCAAACCCAAACAAGAUAGCGAGGGAUGCUUUGACUAGAGAGCUGAACCGCGAAAUAGAAUUCUGGUAUGUUAGUAAGUGGCGUGUUUGUUCGCAGCUUGCUAACGAGAAUAAAGACAAACUAAGCAUGUAGCGCCAUUGGUUAGAAUGGUUUUGGACGCGGGUUCGAAACCCGCCAGCUCCACCA